UACGGAGGGAGCUAGCGUUGUUCGGAAUUACUGGGCGUAAAGCGCACGUAGGCGGCUUUUGUAAGUUAGAGGUGAAAGCCCGGGGCUCAACCCCGGAAUUGCCUUUAAGACUGCAUCGCUUGAAUCCAGGAGAGGUGAGUGGAAUUCCGAGUGUAGAGGUGAAAUUCGUAGAUAUUCGGAAGAACACCAGUGGCGAAGGCGGCUCACUGGACUGGUAUUGACGCUGAGGUGCGAAAGCGUGGGGAGCAAACAGGAUUAGAAAACCCUGG
rnacentral:rRNA from 1 species